GUCGAAAUCAACACGAGUUCUCCAGCUGUCGAGAUGAUUUACUCUUAAAGGGUCGAUCCACGCAAUUUCCAAACACACAUGUUCUUGCAUUUACCCUCAGAAAUAUGGAUCUAAUUCUGCUGGUUCUUCAAAACAGUUUCAGACAGCAUGACUCCAGAUCUGCUACAGAUUGUCAACAUGCCUCUUCUCUCAGGUGUCUUCCUACAAGCCAUGAAAACUGCAGUUGUUAAACCACUCCUGAAGAACAAGCUCGACACAUCGGAUUUCGAUCACAGCGCUGAGACCGCUCUUGUCAAGGUCCUCAAUUACAUUCAUUUAAAGACAGACAGAGGCAAAGUUUCAGCCUUAGUUUUGCCAGAUGUCAGCGGAUCUCAAGCAGGUCAAAACUAAACAUGGAGUAGCAGCCUUCAGUUAUUAUGUGCCACACAUCUGCAGUGAAUCCAAAGGGAAAGUGUCGAGGUGGAAGUGUCAGAAAAGUAACAUCUUCUUGUGUUUGAGUGCAAACCAGUAAGGAUUCACUGCAUACCACCAGAGAUUAGGUGGAUUUGGUGAAUGUGGAUAUUCCUCAAAUGACAUCUGUGCUGUUGCUCCUCCACAAAUCUCAGUCAGAUGUUUUUUUUCAAUGGGUUAAUAUUUCCACUUAUUAUUAGUAAUAUUACUAUUUACUGAUGAGGACAGGUAAAAUCUUUGGUUACCUUUAAGGCCUUUACUUGUGGCAUUG